rnacentral:lncRNA from 1 species
GUUAACAGCUCGGGAAGCUUGCUGAUUGUACCACUGAUGCCCAGAUAAACACUGUGCACCCAUGUUGCUUUUUUUCAUUUCAUUCAAGAACUGCAUCUUUAAAACAACUCUGGGCUCCCACCGAGGAGGAAAUGGAAGGCCAGUAAUGAUGACUCCUCGUCCAUUCAUGUCUGCGAAGUCCAAGCCUUCGCUGGCCUUCCCUCGACACACUGCCAAAAAAGCAGCUCCAUUG